rnacentral:lncRNA from 1 species
CCACAAAGACCUUGAUCUUAGAACGAAGACAUGACUUCUACCGCCUUUUUUUGAGAGAGAGGAACUUAUACCACCUUUUUUUAGAACUAGAACUAGAACUUAUAACACCCUUUUUUUUAGAGAAAGAACUUACAACACCCGAGUGUAGCCUGUGCGUGCUGUGCCCCUAGCUACUGAAGGCCCGGCCCAACAAGCAGCAAAAGAAAAGAAAAGCCC